AGCUGGAUAGCUCAGUUGACUAGACUGUGGUGCUGAUAACACCAAGGUUGUAAGUUCGAUCCCUGUAUGGGACAGCUA